GGUUAAGCGACUAAGCGUACACGGUGGAUGCCCUGGCAGUCAGAGGCGAUGAAGGACGUGCUAAUCUGCGAUAAGCGUCGGUAAGGUGAUAUGAACCGUUAUAACCGGCGAUUUCCGAAUGGGGAAACCCAGUGUGUUUCGACACACUAUCAUUAACUGAAUCCAUAGGUUAAUGAGGCGAACCGGGGGAACUGAAACAUCUAAGUACCCCGAGGAAAAGAAAUCAACCGAGAUUCCCCCAGUAGCGGCGAGCGAACGGGGAGGAGCCCAGAGCCUGAAUCAGUGUGUGUGUUAGUGGAAGCGUCUGGAAAGGCGCGCGAUACAGGGUGACAGCCCCGUACACAAAAAUGCACAUGCUGUGAGCUCGAUGAGUAGGGCGGGACACGUGGUAUCCUGUCUGAAUAUGGGGGACCAUCCUCCAAGGCUAAAUACUCCUGACUGACCGAUAGUGAACCAGUACCGUGAGGGAAAGGCGAAAAGAACCCCGGCGAGGGGAGUGAAAAAGAACCUGAAACCGUGUACGUACAAGCAGUGGGAGCCUCUUAAUGGGGUGACUGCGUACCUUUUGUAUAAUGGGUCAGCGACUUAUAUUCUGUAGCAAGGUUAACCGAAUAGGGGAGCCGAAGGGAAACCGAGUCUUAACUGGGCGUUAAGUUGCAGGGUAUAGACCCGAAACCCGGUGAUCUAGCCAUGGGCAGGUUGAAGGUUGGGUAACACUAACUGGAGGACCGAACCGACUAAUGUUGAAAAAUUAGCGGAUGACUUGUGGCUGGGGGUGAAAGGCCAAUCAAACCGGGAGAUAGCUGGUUCUCCCCGAAAGCUAUUUAGGUAGCGCCUCGUGAAUUCAUCUCCGGGGGUAGAGCACUGUUUCGGCAAGGGGGUCAUCCCGACUUACCAACCCGAUGCAAACUGCGAAUACCGGAGAAUGUUAUCACGGGAGACACACGGCGGGUGCUAACGUCCGUCGUGAAGAGGGAAACAACCCAGACCGCCAGCUAAGGUCCCAAAGUCAUGGUUAAGUGGGAAACGAUGUGGGAAGGCCCAGACAGCCAGGAUGUUGGCUUAGAAGCAGCCAUCAUUUAAAGAAAGCGUAAUAGCUCACUGGUCGAGUCGGCCUGCGCGGAAGAUGUAACGGGGCUAAACCAUGCACCGAAGCUGCGGCAGCGACACUAUGUGUUGUUGGGUAGGGGAGCGUUCUGUAAGCCUGUGAAGGUGUACUGUGAGGUAUGCUGGAGGUAUCAGAAGUGCGAAUGCUGACAUAAGUAACGAUAAAGCGGGUGAAAAGCCCGCUCGCCGGAAGACCAAGGGUUCCUGUCCAACGUUAAUCGGGGCAGGGUGAGUCGACCCCUAAGGCGAGGCCGAAAGGCGUAGUCGAUGGGAAACAGGUUAAUAUUCCUGUACUUGGUGUUACUGCGAAGGGGGGACGGAGAAGGCUAUGUUGGCCGGGCGACGGUUGUCCCGGUUUAAGCGUGUAGGCUGGUUUUCCAGGCAAAUCCGGAAAAUCAAGGCUGAGGCGUGAUGACGAGGCACUACGGUGCUGAAGCAACAAAUGCCCUGCUUCCAGGAAAAGCCUCUAAGCAUCAGGUAACAUCAAAUCGUACCCCAAACCGACACAGGUGGUCAGGUAGAGAAUACCAAGGCGCUUGAGAGAACUCGGGUGAAGGAACUAGGCAAAAUGGUGCCGUAACUUCGGGAGAAGGCACGCUGAUAUGUAGGUGAAGCGACUUGCUCGUGGAGCUGAAAUCAGUCGAAGAUACCAGCUGGCUGCAACUGUUUAUUAAAAACACAGCACUGUGCAAACACGAAAGUGGACGUAUACGGUGUGACGCCUGCCCGGUGCCGGAAGGUUAAUUGAUGGGGUUAGCGGUAACGCGAAGCUCUUGAUCGAAGCCCCGGUAAACGGCGGCCGUAACUAUAACGGUCCUAAGGUAGCGAAAUUCCUUGUCGGGUAAGUUCCGACCUGCACGAAUGGCGUAAUGAUGGCCAGGCUGUCUCCACCCGAGACUCAGUGAAAUUGAACUCGCUGUGAAGAUGCAGUGUACCCGCGGCAAGACGGAAAGACCCCGUGAACCUUUACUAUAGCUUGACACUGAACAUUGAGCCUUGAUGUGUAGGAUAGGUGGGAGGCUUUGAAGUGUGGACGCCAGUCUGCAUGGAGCCGGCCUUGAAAUACCACCCUUUAAUGUUUGAUGUUCUAACGUUGGCCCCUGAUCGGGGUUGCGGACAGUGUCUGGUGGGUAGUUUGACUGGGGCGGUCUCCUCCUAAAGAGUAACGGAGGAGCACGAAGGUUGGCUAAUCCUGGUCGGACAUCAGGAGGUUAGUGCAAUGGCAUAAGCCAGCUUGACUGCGAGCGUGACGGCGCGAGCAGGUGCGAAAGCAGGUCAUAGUGAUCCGGUGGUUCUGAAUGGAAGGGCCAUCGCUCAACGGAUAAAAGGUACUCCGGGGAUAACAGGCUGAUACCGCCCAAGAGUUCAUAUCGACGGCGGUGUUUGGCACCUCGAUGUCGGCUCAUCACAUCCUGGGGCUGAAGUAGGUCCCAAGGGUAUGGCUGUUCGCCAUUUAAAGUGGUACGCGAGCUGGGUUUAGAACGUCGUGAGACAGUUCGGUCCCUAUCUGCCGUGGGCGCUGGAGAACUGAGGGGGGCUGCUCCUAGUACGAGAGGACCGGAGUGGACGCAUCACUGGUGUUCGGGUUGUCAUGCCAAUGGCACUGCCCGGUAGCUAAAUGCGGAAGAGAUAAGUGCUGAAAGCAUCUAAGCACGAAACUUGCCCCGAGAUGAGUUCUCCCUGACUCCUUGAGAGUCCUGAAGGAACGUUGAAGACGACGACGUUGAUAGGCCGGGUGUGUAAGCGCAGCGAUGCGUUGAGCUAACCGGUACUAAUGAACCGUGAGGCUUAACCUU
rnacentral:rRNA from 1 species